rnacentral:rRNA from 1 species
GUUCUAUAGAUUUUAAUUUUAGGUCUAACCUGCUCUAUGAUUUAUUUUAAAUUAAAUGGCUGCGGUAUUUUAACUGUACUAAGGUAGCAUAAUCAUUUGUCUUUUAAUUGGAGGCUAGAAUGAAUGGUUGGAUGAAAUACUAACUUUUUUGUAUUAAUAUUUUGAAUUUUAUUUUUUAGUUAAAAAGCUUAAAUUUUUUUAUGGGACGAGAAGACCCUAUAGAAUUUAAUUAUUGUUAAUUAAUUGUGUUUAUUUAUUUUAUAUAAUCAGUUAUUUUUAUAUAAUUUUGUUGGGGUGAUAGAAAAAUUUAUUUAACUUUUUUUUUGUUUUUCAUAAAUUAUUGUUUUUUUGAUCCUAAAUUUUGGAUUAUAAGAUUAAAUUACCUUAGGGAUAACAGCGUUAUUUUUUUGGAGAGUUC